AGCAGCCGCGGUAAUUCCAGCUCCAAUAGCGUAUAUUAAAGUUGUUGCAGUUAAAAAGCUCGUAGUUGAAUUUCGGGACUAAUAUGUCGGUCGUGCCUCGGUACGCACUGGCUUAUUGGUUUCUCCUUUCUGAAGAACCAUGAUGUCAUUUAUUUGGUGUCGUGGGGAAUCAGGACUGUUACUUUGAAAAAAUUAGAGUGUUUAAAGCAGGCUCACGCUUGAAUACAUUAGCAUGGAAUAAUGAAAUAGGACGUUUGAUUCUAUUUUGUUGGUUUCUAGGAUCGACGUAAUGAUUAAUAGGGAUAGUUGGGGGCAUUAGUAUUCAAUUGUCAGAGGUGAAAUUCUUGGAUUUAUUGAAGACUAACUACUGCGAAAGCAUUUGCCAAGGAUGUUUUCAUUAAUCAAGAACGAAAGUUAGGGGAUCGAAGACGAUCAGAUACCGUCGUAGUCUUAACCAUAAACUAUGCCGACUAGGGAUCGGAUGAUGUUAAUUUUUAAUGACUCAUUCGCGCCUUA
rnacentral:rRNA from 1 species